rnacentral:lncRNA from 1 species
CAUACAAAAAGUUAAUUCAAAAUGGAUUGCAGACCUAAAUCCCCUGGAGGCAGAGGGAGAGCUCUUUUGAAGAACAAGAGGCUUGAAGUCCAGAAAGAAGUUAUUCAGACAAUGGAGCAGAGAAGCUGGGAAAAGAUGAAUCUGGGAGAGAAAGCCAACCUGGAGGUCCCCACAACCAUUCUCUGUGUGGGGAGACUUGCUUGGCCUCGUGCGGGUCUAUCGAUUUCUCAGCUGCCUCUUAGAAACUUCCCUAAGAAACAAUUCCACCAGCUGCCUUUUCAAAAUGGCUGAGAGGCUGUGGAUUCCUGGCUCUGGGCAGCUUUAAAAAAGUGCCAUCAGCCAUCUUAGGAUGUGGCUUCCAAGCUCAUUAUUGUUACCUCAAGGUUUCAGAAUAGCUGUUUCACCUCUGGCAUUGCUUCUGCAUUCCUGCCAGGAGGAAGUGGAGGAUUCAAAGGAAAAGUGGUAAGCCAGCCAAGUCUCUCCGCCAUUAAGGAGCUUUCUCAGAAGUUUCACUAUCUGUCUAGACCAGAAUUGGGCUAUCUGGCCACCGUUCAAUGUAAGGAAGGCUGGGAAUUAUUUUUUCGUUGUUGCUGUUUGAGUGUUUGUUUGAGUGUUUGAGUGAGUGUUGCUGCUAUGGCAAAUUGCUUGCAAAAAUGACAGCAAUUAUCUUCCUCUUUUUUCCGCCUCCCUUACAAUGUGACUUUGAACCUCCUCCCACUAAGAGGUACAGUCUGUUUCCCCACUCCUUAAGUCUGGGCUUGGCUCAUAACUUGUUUUUGCCAAUGGGAUCAAGUGGAAGUGAUGUCAUGCGACUUUCUAGCCUAGACCUCAAAGGAAUGUACAUGCUUUGUCUUGCUCUCUCAGAACUAUGUUGAUGCACUAUGUGAACAAGCCAAAGCUGUCCUGCUGGAUGCGAGAUGAAAGACACAUGGCUCGAUCACCCCUGCUACCCCAGGCAAUAGCCAGCCCAUCCUCAGAAACAGAGUUGCCUGGCUGACCAGCAGAUGAUCUCAGACACAUGAAUGAAACCCACAGAGACCAUAAGAACCAGUAGCUGAACCAAGCCCAUAUUACUGACUCAAAGAACCAUGAAUGGUGGUUAAGUCACUGAGUUUUUUUAUGGAUUAUAAUACAUCAAAAGCUAACUGAUACAGUUAC